CCAAAGUAUUUCACAGCCAAGAUUCUAUUCGGGGUCUUAUAUGGAAGACGAAGUUUAAAAUUGCAUUUAUGGAGUAUAGCAGCAAAUGACCUCCACCUCUUUACAAACUGCCCUUUGGUGCGUGCUAUCUGGUUUAAUAGUCUUUGGGGUCUGAGACCUAAGUGCUGAAACCUCAGCUCUCCAAUUUGAACGUAUGUCUCCUAAUGUUGAUCGCCUGUCAGGCCUCAAACGUUGAUUUUUUGUCUAAGCUAUGAGGUGCAAUCUAGCUUAGCACGAUCAGGGAUGAAGUGCGCCCAGAUGUAGUGAUACUUGGAAAAGCUUUGGGUGGUGGAGUGAUACCUGUAAGUGCAGUGCUUGCAGACAAAGAUGUAAUGCUUUGUAUCCAACCUGGAGAGCAUGGAAGUACCUUUGGGGGAAAUCCAUUGGCCAGUGCAGUUGCCAUCUCCUCACUAGAUAUCAUCAAAGAUGAGAGACUUGUUGAGACUUGAGAGAUCUGCCCAACUGGGACAGGAGUUAAGGCACCAUCUACUUAAGAUUCAGCGGCAAUACCCAAACUACAAAUGAGAAGUUCGAGGUAGAGGUUUGUUCAAUGCUGUGGAGCUCAACAGCAAAAAUCUGUGCCCUAUUUCUGCAUAUGAUAUCUGCCUACAGUUAAAGGAGAGAGUUCUUGCUAAGCCCACCCAUGAUACUAUCAUCCGAUUAACUCCCCCACUCUCAAUAAGUUUGGAUGAGCUCCAAGAAGCCUCAAAGGCACUGAGUGAUGUUCUUGAGCAUGAUCUACCAAAGAUGCAGAAAGCAAAGCCAGAGCAUGUCUCCACAACUAGUUCUAACAUAUGUGACCGUUGUAUUGAAUAACAUGUACAUUACUUCUUAAGGCAAUCAGUUGCUGAAAUUGAUAUCUUAUACUUUGGCAUGGAUUUUCAAAAAAGCUCUCCUCUAAUUGUAGCUUUCUUUUUUUUAAUAAAAUUAGGAUACUUAUCUCAA